CGGGCUGUAGUGUAACGGUAACACGCUUCGUUCGGGACGAAGAGAUUUAGUGGGUUCGACUCCCACCAGCCCGA
rnacentral:tRNA from 1 species